rnacentral:rRNA from 1 species
CCUACGGGAGGCUGCAGUAGGGAAUAUUGCUCAAUGGGGGAAACCCUGAAGCAGCAACGCCGCGUGGAGGAUGAAGGCUUUCGGAUUGUAAACUCCUUUUGUCAGAGAAGAUAAUGACGGUAUCUAACGAAUAAGCACCGGCUAACUCCGUGCCAGCAGCCGCGGUAAUACGGCGGGUGCAAGCGUUACUCGGAAUCACUGGGCGUAAAGAGCGCGUAGGCGGGAUAGCAAGUCAGAUGUGAAAUCCUAUGGCUUAACCAUAGAACUGCAUUUGAAACUGUUAUUCUAGAGUAUGGGAGAGGUAGGUGGAAUUCUUGGUGUAGCGGUAAAAUCCGUAGAGAUCAAGAGGAAUACUCAUUGCGAAGGCGACCUGCUGGAACAUAACUGACGCUGAUGCGCGAAAGCGUGGGGAGCGAACAGGAUUAGAUACCCCAGUAGUC